GACGAACGCUGGCGGCGUGCUUAACACAUGCAAGUCGAACGGAAAGGCCUUUUCGGAGGUACUCGGGUGGCGAACGGGUGAGUAACACGUGGGUGAUCUGCCCUGCACUCUGGGAUAAGCCUGGGAAACUGGGUCUAAUACCGGAUAGGACCGCACUUUAGUGUGUGUGGUGGAAAGUUUUUUCGGUGUAGGAUGAGCCCGCGGCCUAUCAGCUUGUUGGUGGGGUAAUGGCCUACCAAGGCGGCGACGGGUAGCCGGACUGAGAGGUUGGUCGGCCACAUUGGGACUGAGAUACGGCCCAGACUCCUACGGGAGGCAGCAGUGGGGAAUAUUGCACAAUGGGCGCAAGCCUGAUGCAGCGACGCCGCGUGGGGGAUGACGGCCUUCGGGUUGUAAACUCCUUUCGCCAGGGACGAAGCGUUUUGUGACGGUACCUGGAGAAGAAGCACCGGCUAACUACGUC
rnacentral:rRNA from 1 species